GGGAUAACAUUUGGAAACAGAUGCUAAUACCGCAUAGAUCCAAGAACCGCAUGGUUCUUGGCUGAAAGAUGGCGUAAGCUAUCGCUUUUGGAUGGACCCGCGGCGUAUUAGCUAGUUGGUGAGGUAAUGGCUCACCAAGGCGAUGAUACGUAGCCGAACUGAGAGGUUGAUCGGCCACAUUGGGACUGAGACACGGCCCAAACUCCUACGGGAGGCAGCAGUAGGGAAUCUUCCACAAUGGACGCAAGUCUGAUGGAGCAACGCCGCGUGAGUGAAGAAGGCUUUCGGGUCGUAAAACUCUGUUGUUGGAGAAGAAUGGUCGGCAGAGUAACUGUUGUCGGCGUGGCGGUAUCCAACCAGAAAGCCACGGCUAACUACGUGCCAGCAGCCGCGGUAAUACGUAGGUGGCAAGCGUUAUCCGGAUUUAUUGGGCGUAAAGCGAGCGCAGGCGGUUUUUUAAGUCUGAUGUGAAAGCCCUCGGCUUAACCAAGGAAGCGCAUCGGAAACUGGGAAACUUGAGUGCAGAAGAGGACAGUGGAACUCCAUGUGUAGCGGUGAAAUGCGUAGAUAUAUGGAAGAACACCAGUGGCGAAGGCGGCUGUCUGGUCUGUAACUGACGCUGAGGCUCGAAAGCAUGGGUAGCGAACAGGAUUAGAUACCCUGGUAGUCCAUGCCGUAAACGAUGAAUGCUAGGUGUUGGAGGGUUUCCGCC
rnacentral:rRNA from 1 species